UUUCCGUAGGUGAACCUGCGGAAGGAUCAUUAUUGUAUAACCGAGGUGCGAGGGCUGUCGCUGACCCGACAGGUCGUGCACGCCCGAGUGCCCUCACACACAUCCAUCUCACCCCUAUGUGCACCACCGCGUGGGUCCCCCUUUGGCUUGUUCGGAGGGGGGCUUACGUUUUCACACAAACUUUGUAUGAAGUGUAGAAUGUAUUUUUUGUUUUUGCGAUCAAGAAAUCAAUACAACUUUCAACAACGGAUCUCUUGGUUCUC
rnacentral:misc_RNA from 1 species